UAUAAACUUCGACUGCUUUGAAAAGUUUGUUUAUACCUUUGAAUCAACACCAGUGGUCUAUUAACAUUAUGAUCGUAUCUUAAGUUCUUGAUAACGGACCAUAAAUAAAUUCAACGAAUGGUAGACCACGAGCAAAGCAGAGACCUUGCCCAAGUAUACCGAGAAUGAACUAGAAAAUUGCGUUGGAGAUAUCCUGAAAAGAGUGCCGGAUAGAAAAGGCGUCAGUGUCCGUGAAAAACUAAACCACGACAACAGUUUUAAUGAUAUUUUUUAAAUCUGUAAUUUGAAAUAUGUUUUAAUCUUGUGUAUACUUUAAUUUUGUGUUUUAUUCGUUUUAAUUAUUAUGGCA